GUCGCUUUCUGUUGCUAAUAGGUCAAAUCGUAUUAUCAGUCACUCUAUGCUCUCUUCGUUUUAUCUCGUUACUUAUGUUGUUUCCUUUGCUCACCAUCCCCACUGUGUCGCCACCAUGCCCUUACCUUCUUCCACCUCUCUAGCAACUAUUGAACAGAUUAACGAUGCCUAGAGCCUAUUUUCCUAGUGAUUUGAUAUAUCAGGCCUAGUUUAUUCAAGGCCUUGUUUAGUUCCCAGAAAAUUUUGCAAAAUUUUUCAUAUUUCCCGUCACAUCGAAUCUUUAGACGCAUGCAUAAAGCAUUAAAUAUAGAUGAAAAUAAAAAUUAGUUAUACAGUUUACCUAUAAUUUAUAAGAUAAAUCUUUUGAACAUAGUUAGUCUAUGAUUCAGAUAAUAUUU
rnacentral:lncRNA from 1 species